rnacentral:misc_RNA from 1 species
UUUCCGUAGGUGAACCUGCGGAAGGAUCAUUGUCGAAGCCUGCCCAGCAGAACGACCCGCGAACUUGUAUAAACAACCGGGGGCAGGGGCGAUCUCGCCCCGUGCCCUCGAACGGCAGGGAGACACUCGUGCCUUCUUGUCGAACAACGAACCACGGCGCGGUCUGCGCCAAGGAACUUCAAUUAAAGAGUGCCUCCGGUCGCCUCGGAAACGAUGCGCGUGUCGGAGGCGAAUCUUGUACAAAACCAUAACGACUCUCGGCAACGGAUAUCUCGGCUCUC